GCGGCGUGCUACACAUGCAGUCGAGCGAUCUUCUUCGGAAGAGAGCGGCGGACGGGUGAGUAACGCGUGGGUAACCUGCCUCAUACACAUGGAUAACAUACCGAAAGGUAUGCUAAUACAGGAUAACAUAUUUUUAUCGCAUGAUAAAAAUAUCAAAGCUCCGGCGGUAUGAGAUGGACCCGCGUCUGAUUAGCUAGUUGGUAAGGUAAUGGCUUACCAAGGCGACGAUCAGUAGCCGACCUGAGAGGGUGAUCGGCCACAUUGGAACUGAGACACGGUCCAAACUCCUACGGGAGGCAGCAGUGGGGAAUAUUGCACAAUGGGCGAAAGCCUGAUGCAGCAACGCCGCGUGAGCGAUGAAGGCCUUCGGGUCGUAAAGCUCUGUCCUCAAGGAAGAUAAUGACGGUACUUGAGGAGGAAGCCCCGGCUAACUACGUGCCAGCAGCCGCGGUAAUACGUAGGGGGCUAGCGUUAUCCGGAUUUACUGGGCGUAAAGGGUGCGUAGGCGGUUUUUCAAGUCAGGAGUGAAAGGCUACGGCUCAACCGUAGUAAGCUCUUGAAACUGGGAGACUUGAGUGCAGGAGAGGAGAGUGGAAUUCCUAGUGUAGCGGUGAAAUGCGUAGAUAUUAGGAGGAACACCAGUAGCAAAGGCGGCUCUCUGGACUGUAACUGACGCUGAGGCACGAAAGCGUGGGGAGCGAACAGGAUUAGAUACCCUGGUAGUCCACGCCGUAAACGAUGAGUACUACGUGUCGGGGGUUACCCCCCUCGGUGCCGCAGCUAACGCAUUAAGUACUCCGCCUGGGGAGUACGCUCGCAAGAGUGAAACUCAAAGGAAUUGACGG
rnacentral:rRNA from 1 species